GACGAACGCUGGCGGCGUGCUUAACACAUGCAAGUCGUGCGGUAAGGCCCUUUCGGGGGUACACGAUCGGCGAACGGGUGAGUAACACGUACGCAACCUGCCCUUCCCUUUGGGAUAACUGCCGUAAACGGUGUCUAAUACCGGAUAUGACUUCCUCACGCCUGUGGGGUGGUGGAAAGCCUUCGGGGGGUGGGGGAUGGGCUCGCGGUCUAUCAGCUUGUUGGUGGGGUGAUGGCCUACCAAGGCUUCGACGGGUAGCCGGCCUGAGAGGGUGACCGGCCACACUGGGACUGAGACACGGCCCAGACUCCUACGGGAGGCAGCAGUGGGGAAUAUUGGACAAUGGGCGAAAGCCUGAUGCAGCAACGCCGCGUGAGGGAUGACGGCCUUCGGGUUGUAAACCUCUUUCGCCUGCGACGAAGCGAGAGUGACGGUAGCAGGUAAAGAAGCACCGGCCAACUACGUG
rnacentral:rRNA from 1 species